rnacentral:rRNA from 1 species
UCCCAGCUGUAAACGAUGCGGGCUAGGUGUUGGGGUAGCCACGAGCUGCCCCAGUGCCGCAGAGAAGUUGUUAAGCCCGCCGCCUGGGGAGUACGGCCGCAAGGCUGAAACUUAAAGGAAUUGGCGGGGGAGCACCACAAGGGGUGAAGGCUGCGGUUUAAUUGGAGUCAACGCCGGGAACCUUACCGGGGCUGACAGCAGAGUGAAGGCCAGACUGAAGAUCUUGCCAGACAAGCUGAGAGGAGGUGCAUGGCCGUCGACAGUUCGUGCCGUGAGGUGUCCUGUUAAGUCAGGCAACGAACGAGACCCCUGCCUUUAGUUGCCAGCGGAUUCCAACGGAAUGCCGGGCACACUAACGGGACUGCCACCGAU